UACGAAGGGGGCUAGCGUUGCUCGGAAUUACUGGGCGUAAAGGGCGCGUAGGCGGACAGUUUAGUCAGAGGUGAAAGCCCAGGGCUCAACCUGGGGACUGCGCUUGAUACGGCAGAGCUUGGAGGAUGGAAGAGGGUCGCGGAAUUCCCAGUGUAGAGGUGAAAUUCGUAGAUAUUGGGAAGAACACCGGUGGCGAAGGCGGCGACCUGGUCCAUUACUGACGGCUGAGGCGCGACAG
rnacentral:rRNA from 1 species